rnacentral:rRNA from 1 species
CCUACGGGAGGCUGCAGUGAGGAAUAUUGGUCAAUGGACGCAAGUCUGAACCAGCCAUGCCGCGUGAAGGAUGAAGGCCUUUGGGUUGUAAACUUCUUUUAUGUGGGAAGCGGUACCAUAGGAAUAAGCACCGGCUAACUCCGUGCCAGCAGCCGCGGUAAUACGGAGGGUGCAAGCGUUAUCCGGAUUUACUGGGUUUAAAGGGUGUGUAGGCGGGCUAUUAAGUCAGUGGUGAAAUCUCCGAGCUUAACUUGGAAACUGCCAUUGAUACUAUUAGUCUUGAAUUUUGUUGAGGUAGGCGGAAUAAGUCAUGUAGCGGUGAAAUGCAUAGAUAUGACUUAGAACACCAAUUGCGAAGGCAGCUUGCUAAACAAAAUUGACGCUGAGGCACGAAAGCGUGGGGAUCAAACAGGAUUAGAUACCCUUGUAGUC